AUUUCAAAUAAAUUUGUACAAAACAAGACCAAUUCAAAAAUUAGAUCAGCCCAAAACAACCAUGAAAUGGAACUACCAGCUUCUAUAUCAAAACCCUAGAAGAUAGGGUUUUCAAAUUUGAGUUCCUUUUCUUUCUCCCCUCGUCGCCGCUAGGAGCUAUAUGGAAUCCAACCUUCCUCUUCCUUUUGUCGUAGAUCAUCAACACCUUCCUCUUGUUUGCCAUGUUAACCCUCCUUCUCAGCUCGCAGAGGUAUGAUUUUUUUAGCUUGCUCUUUCCUUCUCUAUCUGUUUUCUAACUUCCUCCUUUUCUCUUGGAGAUAUAUAAUCUGGUGGAACAGUGGAUCCCAGAAGUGAUUUUGACUUUUGAUAGAGGCGUAUAGUCUUGUGGUUGAGCUCGCAACUCUCUGAGAUCAUAACCUUUGGUUUUAUGAAUUAGUGGAAAUAAAAAGGAGAAUUUCUUACAAGAACUUCAAGGUAUACAAGCAAAUAUGAAUUGUGAUGUAUGGAUUUAUACAUAUUCAACGUCUUGUCCUACAUUUGACAAAAAAGAUGUGCAACAACAUUUUUAUUCUUGGAUGACAGUAAAUAGAUGGAGAGGUUGUUUCGUUCCCUAUCUCCGAAUAUGGGGAAUAUAUUCUCAAAAAUUCUUGCUCUAAUCUAACCUAGCUGACGGAAGAUGAUAAAUAAAGAAGAACUCUUACAAGUUAUCGGCCAAAUGAUUGUGAGGUUUCAUGAUAUCAAUAGGGGAUCAACAAGGCUUUCUAUAUAGAUUUCUUACCAUGAUGUUGUAUCCAACAUAAAGACUGGUCAACAUUUACAGUUUGAGGACCUAUUCGUGGAUGACAGUACAUGACCAACUUCAGGGCAUCUAUCUAGUAAAUCUUUAUGGUAAAUUUGUCAACGAGAAGAUUUAUUGGAUUGCAGCUACUAGUCUUCAUAAUCACAAUGUGCGCAACAUCAUUUCUUUUGAUGUAGAAGAUGACACAUGGGGAAGCUUGGAGCUUCCCAUUUGUGGGGAAGUCAAUUCUAAUUUCAAAAUCAGAGUUGUGGAAAGUGACCUUUCGGUGCUUCAUACUUGUCGUCUAGGUGACACUGCUUCUGAUGUCUGGAUUUUGAAGGACUGUCCAAAAACCGCAAUUUUCAAAAUCCAAACAUCAGAAGUAGUAGUACCUAGAUGGCAAGAAUAGAGCACAGAAAGCACUUCCUACUACUCCCAGUUUGAUACUGGAAUUGUCUUCUCCACAAACGGAAAGCUCCAAGCAUCCCCAUGUCUCGUCUGCUACAUCAAAAGAAAUGAUAUUGCACACAUCGUAAUUACCAAUACCCAUAUAGAUGCAAUCCAAUAAAGCUUCCCAUUGACAAAUUUAGCCAAAUGAUUUAUUAGAAAGGUGCCAUGAAGCUGGUCAUGAAGUGUUGUCCAAGAAUCAGUCCUCAAGCUGUAAAUAUUGACGAAAUCCUCAUGUUGGACACCUCAUAAUUAUAAGAAUCACAACAAUGAUCAAUCAACAAAGCUUUAUAAUCGUCACUUGAGUCAUUGUAUCCAAAACCAUAUUUGGUAUAGAAAAAGAUACCACCGGGCAAAUUAAGUAAUUUCUUUGACUUGCUAUUGGUGGGGUUCCAUAUAUACGUCUCCCUUUCAUGAUUGCAAAGACAAAUCAACCCAUUGGCAGAACCCAUAAAAAAGGUUGAUAAAGUGGGGGAUCCAUUGUGAAGUAGCUUCUGAGUGAGUUGUUGUUUGCUAAAGAGGUGAGGGAGUGAACAAAAAUUGUAAUUUCUAUUGAUGUGUGUUUAAUUUGAGAUGAGUGUUCAAGAAAUGAGGGCUAGAUAUUAGUUGAUGCCAUGAUUUUGAAAUGGACAUACAUUUCAAUGGACUUUGUGGAAAGCCUUAAGAGAAUGUCUGUUGUGAUUUCAAUUGGGAUUAUGAUUUGAGUUAUUGUAGAAAUCAGAGUGAAAUGACUCAUAUAUUUACGUUCCUUCAAUGGGACACAACAAAGAAACUAAGAUAUUGAAGAAUACUAUAUAGAAGCAUGAAGAGCCAGGACAACCACAACUUAAUCAUAUUGUAUAUUCUCAAAAAAUCUUGCUCUAAUCUGACCUAGCUGACGGAAGAAGCUAAAUAAAGAAGAACUCUUACAAGUUAUCGGAUAAAUGAUCGUGAGGUUUCAUGAUAUCAAUAGGGGAUCAACAAGGCUUUCUACAUAGAUUUCUGCAGCAGCACAUUCCUCAAAUUGAUCAGCAACCUCUACUUGUCUGGUUGAACCGUUAUAUGUCAUGAUAACGGGGGAAGUAAAAGUAAAAUCUCAUCCAUAUUCGACUGAUAACAAGGUAUAGAGAAAAUGGAUGUAAAGAAUAUAAACUCCCCAAGGUCUUUAGGAUGAUCGACAGUGAAAAUCUUUGUCCGUGAUACUUCAACUCCACAAUCCUUCCUAAUCCACACAUCGGAAUUAGUUCCUUCAAGACAAUUAAGACAAAGCACAGAAAGAUGACUUCCAACCACUCCUAGUGCCAACGGAUAACUACCUUUUCCAUAACUAUUCGGAAUCUCCAACCUUCUCCACGUCUCGUCUGCUAAAUCAAGAGAAAUGAUGUUGCACAUAUUGAACGUAUCAACAUCAGCUGAUAAAGCCCAAUAAAGCUUUCCAUCGACAAAUUUACCCGGAGAAUUUACUAGAAAAUUUCCCUGAAACUUAUUAAUUGUUCUCCAAGAAUUAGCCUUCAAACUGUAUUUGUUGACUACAGUAUCACACAAUACAUUGAAUAACUACCACUUUGUAAUCAUCACGUGUUUCGUCAAAUCCAAAACCAUAUUUGAGAUAGUAAGAGCAACCGUUCCUCAAUUUAGCUCCAAGUGUAGGUAAUUUCUUAGACUUGUUAAUAGCGGGGUUCCAUAGAACUGUCUCCUCUAUCUUACUAUACAGACAAAUCAAUCCAUUGACAGAACCGUCAAUCCAAGAAUAAAUAGUGGGGCUUUCCAUGGGAGAACCAAUGUCAAAUAGCUCGGUGCUUCGUUCUUUGUUAAGCAUGGAAGGGAGACAACAUACCCUAAAUUGUGUGCAGAUUCUUGAAAAAUAAUCCUGCGGUGGCUGUAUUCUUUGUCAUUAGCUGUUUGUUUCAAAUGGGUUUUGAUAAACUUCGCGCUGGAGAUUAGUUCAAGCCCAUGAUUUUGAAACACACAUGAACUUCAACAGAGACUUUGGUGGCAAAUUUAAGAGGAUCUCUAUGAUGAUUUCAUGAGGAAGAACAGAGAGUAUCGAUUCAGCCAUAAGUCAUAUGGUACAGCUUUUGUGUGUAUUUUUUGUUAGUAUAAUAACAUAAAUAGUCGAGGUAGGGGGUAAGGUUUGCGUAGACUUAUGAUGUUGUAAGGUCAAGGAAACAAAAAUAGAAACCUAUAGAGAAAGCGAAACGGCUGAUGGAUCUUAUCUUUAUGAUAUCCUAUUAGACAUGGCUGAGAUCCCCAAACUACGUGGCAAAGAGAUCAAUGUUUUUGGAGGGAAAUGGUCUGUGAUAACAACAUCUUUCACUUUUUUCUAACUCUUUUCUGGAUUUUAUAUCAUAAAUAAUUAUUAUAAUGAUGUGGAAGUCUUUGUACUUCAGGACAAAUGCUAGGUGAAAUGUGAUAUUUUAUAGUAUGGGGCUUCAAGGUCACUUAACUUUUGAAGGGUAAUUGUCUAAAUAUUUUCAAUGUUGUUAUUUCUUUUAGAAAAAUGUUUUUGGCGGUUGUCUUGAUUGAGGAGAAGUCGUCAUAGUUUGAUUGCAACACAUUCUUGAACUAUAAUUUUUUAUUAAAAUUGGACGACUGGACGUGACAUAUAUAGAAAUCCUUAUUUGGAUAGAAGUAGAUAUUUGAAGUAUAAAUGGAUUGGGAUUAAGUAUCCAUUAAAUUGUUUUUGGCGUUUGUACAUAAACAGAAAUCCAAAUUUGGAUAGAAUUAGAUAUUUGAAGUAUAAAGGGAUUGGGAAGUACCCCUAAAUUCUUUGCCUAUUUAUAUCAACUCCUUUUGUACCGUAUUAAUUAUUCAAACAAGUUUAAAGGAUUUGGAAGUAUCGCCUGUAAUUCUUUGGCUAUAUAUAUUGUUCCUUUGA